rnacentral:sRNA from 1 species
AAAAACAACCGGAACCGGCGGCACCAGCUCGGAGAGAAAGGAGGUUCCAUAGGCAGUUCUUACCAAGAAGAUGUCGAUUCCAUUCUCCAACACCCACUACCGAAUUCCACAAGGAUUUGGGAAUCUUCUUGAAGGGCUGACACGCGAGAUUCUGAGAGAGCAACCGGACAAUAUACCAGCUUUUGCAGCAGCCUAUUUUGAGAGCCUUCUAGAGAAAAGAGAGACGUGGACGGUAACUGCAAAAGAGCAUACAUUUCUCGGGAGAAAUCAGUGGGGGAAAAAAAGAUCAUACAGUCUACCCUCGCCACGUUCCAGCAUACUGUUCCUGUGCAUCCCUGGCAGCUGACUGUUAUUCCUGAGAUGAGUAUCUGUGGUUUCCUUUCAAUUUUGAUUCCUUCCAUUUGAAAGUAUUUUAAGUGCUGCAAAAAGAAUUC